rnacentral:lncRNA from 1 species
UGAUGUAAAGGUAUCCUUGAAUAGAUAUAGUAGAGUACCGUAUCAAUUGAACAGAUACUUUGAUUUUUUAAUUCAAGAUGGAGAUUUGAUCUCCCAUAUGGAUGCAAUACAGGGAUCUAACAUUGAGAAGUGGCUUAGAGCCAUUAAAUCUAAAAUGAAGUCCAUAAAGAUCAACAAUGUAUGGACAUUCAUUGGUUCACCUGAAAGGGUAAGACCCAUAAGGUGUGAGUAGAUUUUAGAUGGAUAAGAGGGCC